rnacentral:tRNA from 2 species
GGCGAGGUAGCUCAGGCGGUUAGAGCGUCGGAUUCAUAACCCGGAGGUCGGGAGUUCAAGUCUCCCCCUCGCUA